AACGAACGCUGGCGGCAUGCCUAACACAUGCAAGUCGAACGAGACCUUCGGGUCUAGUGGCGCACGGGUGCGUAACGCGUGGGAAUCUACCCUCAGGUUCGGAAUAACUCAGAGAAAUUUGAGCUAAUACCGGAUGAUGACGUAAGUCCAAAGAUUUAUCGCCUGAGGAUGAGCCCGCGUAGGAUUAGGUAGUUGGUGAGGUAAAGGCUCACCAAGCCGACGAUCCUUAGCUGGUCUGAGAGGAUGAUCAGCCACACUGGGACUGAGACACGGCCCAGACCCCUCCGGGGCGCGCCAGUGGGGAAUAUUGAACAAUGGGCGAACGCCUGAUCCAGCAUUCCCGGGGGAUGAAUGAGGCCUUUGGGGUUGUAAAUCUUUUUUCCCCGGGAUGAAAAUAACAGACCGGGAAAAAAAACCCCCGGCAACCCCCGUC
rnacentral:rRNA from 1 species